CUUUCAUCCUGCCUGUACAAACCAGCCAAUCACAGAAGUGCUUUCAUAGCUGUUAUCAGAAUGUUGGCUUGGCUGGCUUGGAGAGCAGAGACUGCUGUGUAGAGAGAGAGAGAGGGAGGGCUGUCCUCCAUGUUUUAAUAAGCAUUGACAUUACACACUGUUUUAAGCCAUGCAUCCACAGAGAAAUACAGGAUUUUCUGAGACAGGGGACAAAAACCUGUCCCAACACCAAAGAGCUGGAUCCUGGCAGGCAGAGGCAACUCAGAAAUCACACUCACACUGUGUUUUAGUCUCCAGUCUCGCAUGGCUGACCUGUGCUAACCCAAAAUGGCCUCUCCUGGUCUCUCUCCUAGUAAUGUUUCUCUAAAGCUGGAGAGGAGCACAGACGUGUCAGGUUGUGUCACAGGCCAGACCUCUCAAAAUGGAAGGCCCUGAGCACCAGACAGUACAGACUGUAAGAGGAAGCGCACAUGUAGACUGGCAGAAACAUCGAGCAGCAGUUUUGGCUCAGGUUGCAAGUUAAGGGAACACUUUUCAACGGCUGACAUAACGCUGAAUGUCCAUUUUGCUCAGGAUAUAGGCCUGAUUUGCAAAAGCACACAGCAGAAUGCCUUUGCUGAAAGAGUUAUUGGAUUAGAAAUAGAAGAGACAUUCUUUUCUAUAAACAGAUGCAUAUAGAUGGUGAAUUAGUCUUGUGUUUGCCUUUCUUGGUUAAAUAGCUACAGGCUUCUGUCUGUUGACUCAGGUUGUAAAGACUCUGGACAGGCCAGGCAUUUUAUCAAAACUUAGUUGUGGUAUGAGCUGGCAGCCAUUUCAGACAGACUUCCGCUUUCGACUGUGCAACCACAAAGACUGUUUUUGUGUCUGUGAAUGCAAGCAUUUUUUUCCUUAAUGUGGCAUACUUGAUGUUACAUUUGUAGCCAGUAUUUCAAAUAUUUCUCUUGGAUGGCAAGUAACUGGAUACUGUAUUUACUACAGCAGGGGUCUGAUCAGAAGGUCAAAGCAGUGGACUAGUGGUGUUUUUCCACAUCCAGAAUGUCAAAUUGUGGCGUUUUUUGUUGAUCUUAACUUGGUAUAGCAAUCAUUGUCAGCAAAAUAACCUGCACGUUUGACAUUUUAUCUGUUAACGCAUGCCAUUAAACCUGAUUGUUUAUCGGCUUCACCUGAUUUACAGUAUCAGACACUUGUGAGUUCAUGAUAUCUGUUUGAGAUAAUAGCCUACUUCUAAAAAAUGGGAUUUAUUAUUUAACAGCUGAGAUUUGAGGGGGGGUGGCUCAGUUUGGUUGUUUAAAAAAAGAGCAGAGGAUUAAUUACAACAGGGAGAUAUAAGAAAACAAACUAUUUGAAUUAGGGGUGUGCGCUAGGACGACUUUUGAUCAUGUCUCCACAAUCUGCUUUUGAAGAAAUAACGUAGUAUCGUGCUAAAGCGCAUAUUCUAUCAGCUGCAGUUCUGGCGCUGCUGUAUCAAUAUACUGUACAAUGCCAUAUAUAUUCGCAUCAGUGUUGACUCAGUGGUAGAGUUACUCGUACGGGACACUGCACUUAUUCGCAGUCACAAAAGUAUAUUAUUUUCAUGUGCUUUAAAGCCUUGCCGGUUAAACGUUUCAUUCGCGUGCUGUUCUGACAUGCGAUUUUGCUUUUUCUGAGCACCUACACCCGAAGCGCGCGCACUAAAAAACCUGUCAAACAGCGCCUGAUUACAGAACUAAGUUAUCUUUUGCGCUAAUAAAGUUAAAACACACAAGGUUUAUGUAUAGACUCAGUUGGUUAUGUCUAAAAUGAAAGGAAACAGUUGAGAGAGAAACGGAUACGUGCCUGUAUAUUAGAUGCGUGCAGGUCUUAAAGGGACAGAACUUAACAUGCUGCUGACUGUCAUUAAAGGACUAGAUCACCCUGAAAACCUGUAUUAAUUUUCUUUCUUGUGCUGAACACAAAAGAAGAUAUUUUAAAGAAUGUGGGUAACCAAACAGUUGCUGUUCCACAUUGAAUUUGAUAGUAGGAAAAAAAUACUAUGGAAAUCACUAACAUAACAUUUAUGUUCAGCAGAAGAAAGAAACCCAUUAAGGUUUAAAGCAACUUUUGAGUGAGUAAAUGAUGGUAUAAAAAUAAAACCCUUUUUAUUUUUGUGUUGUUAAUAAAAAAAAAAAAAUCACUCACUACUCUUGAUUUAAAAAUUUUAAUACAGUUGUUAAUACAGUAAUACAAUGAAUCUAUAUAGUGUUUUAUUUUUAGAUUUGUUGAUUCAGUUUCUUGAAUGCUCCUGCUAAUUAGACAUAUUGUACCUGAAAAUAAAACACUGUUUGUUUUAUUUGUAUAUUAUGUGUAUUUGUAACGUGUAUCUUUGUUCUCAUUUUUAAUAACAAAGAUAAAAAAUAAUGACAUUUUUAUUUUCGUCUACUUUGGCCUAAAUAUCCACCAUUCUUUUUAUAUAUUUUUGUUACAUUGAAAGGCUUUGUCUUUAUAAUAGGGAAAUUUGUUUGGCUGUAAUGCUCAGACAACUUGCAAAAUCGUAAAAAAAUAUUUUUCCAUAUUGCCCACCCCUAAUUUAAAUUAUAGUUAAUAAUUUAAAAUCAUGAUUAUUAGUUGUAGAUAAGUCAAAGUUAUGAUAAAUAUUAAAUUAUUAACUUUUGUUUUAUUGUAAAAAAAAAAAAGAUGUUUAAAUGGUUUUUACUCCAAAAAAUGUCAUGUGUAGCCAUAAUUGUUUGCACCGUGAAUAAAAUUGCAUACACAUUUUAAACAUCGUUGUCAAAAAAGUUAUACUUUAU
ensembl:lncRNA